GAAACUACCAUCUGCCUGGUGUGAGUGGCUCCUCUCUGUUCAUUGUUGCAGUUCACCAACUCCAGGAGGACCACCUCUUGAUGAAGGAACUUGAGGAGCUCAUGGUGGGGGACAGAACUGCUGACGCCCUCAUGAAUGAACAGAUAGAUUCCCGAGGAAAACAAGAACCUGCAAAGAAUCUCUAGAAUUCUACAGAACCCAAGACCCCAGGAACAAGGAUGCCAAAGAUCUGGAAAGAAGUUUCCUGUGGCCC
rnacentral:lncRNA from 1 species